rnacentral:tRNA from 1 species
GGUGAUAUCGUAUAGUGGUUAGUAUGACUGGCUUUGACCCAGUCGACCAGAGUUCGAAUCUCUGUAUCACCU